GGUUAAUUCGAUGAUACGCGAGGAACCUUACCUGGGCUCGAACGUAAGAUGACUGUAAAGUGAAAGCUUACAUCUCUUCGGAGCAUUUUACGAGGUGCUGCAUGGUUGUCGUCAGCUCGUGCCGUGAGGUGUCGGGUUAAGUCCCAUAACGAGCGCAACCCCUACCUUUAGUUGCCAUCAGGUUAAGCUGGGGAACUCUAAAGGAACUGCCUACGCAAGUAGUGAGGAAGCGGGGAUGACGUCAAAUCAGCACGGCCCUUACGUCCAGGGCUACACACGUGCUACAAUGGCCGAUACAGAGGGCAGCUACCUGGUGACAGGAUGCAAAUCUCCAAAGUCGGUCUCAGUUCGGAUCGGAGUCUGCAACCCGACUCCGUGAAGUUGGAUUCGCUAGUAAUCGCGCAUCAGCCAUGGCGCGGUGAAUACGUUCCCGGGCCUU
rnacentral:rRNA from 1 species